rnacentral:rRNA from 1 species
UACGUAGGGUGCAAGCGUUAAUCGGAAUUACUGGGCGUAAAGCGUGCGCAGGCGGCUAUGCAAGACAGAUGUGAAAUCCCCGGGCUUAACCUGGGAACUGCAUUUGUGACUGCAUGGCUAGAGUGCGGCAGAGGGGGAUGGAAUUCCGCGUGUAGUAGUGAAAUGCGUAGAUAUGCGGAGGAACACCGAUGGCGAAGGCAAUCCCCUGGGCCUGCACUGACGCUCAUGCACGAAAGCGUGGGGAGCAAACAGG